GCAGGUAACAGUUUAGGCACACACUUUUCCCUUUUCCCUAAUGCAGGUAACAGUUUAGGCACACACUUUUCCCUUUUCUCUAAUGCAGGUAACAGUUUAGGCACACACUUUUCCCUUUUCCCUAAUGCAGGUAACAGUUUAGGCACACACUUUUCCAUUUUCCCUAAUGCAGGUAACAGUUUAGGCACACACUUUUCCCUUUUCCCUAAUGCAGGUAACAGUUUAGGCACACCCUUUUCCCUAAUGCAGGUAACAGUUUAGGCACACCCUUUUCCCUAAUGCAGGUAACAGUUUAGGCACACCCUUUUCCCUAAUGCAGGUAACAGUUUAGGCACACACUUUUCCCUUUUCCCUAAUGCAGGUAACAGUUUAGGCACACCCUUUUCCCUAAUGCAGGUAACAGUUUAGGGACACACUUUUCCCUUUUCCCUAAUGCAGGUAACAGUUUAGGGACACACUUUUCCCUUUUCCCUAAUGCAGGUAACA